rnacentral:rRNA from 1 species
ACGAAGCGCAAGUGACGGUACCUGCAGAAGAAGCACCGGCUAACUACGUGCCAGCAGCCGCGGUAAUACGUAGGGUGCAAGCGUUGUUCGGAAUUACUGGGCGUAAAGAGUUCGUAGGCGGUUUGUCAAGUCGGAUGUGAAAUCCCGCAGCUCAAC